rnacentral:lncRNA from 1 species
CAACUGAGUGAUUUUGAUUAAUAAAACGGGCCAAGCCCAGUACAAAAGCGCACAUUACAGCCCAACAAACCAAACGGGCAUCCCAAUCUCCAAAUGGGCCAAUACUAACGGCCCAAAACGAGAAACCCUAGAAACCUAAAGACAGUAGAGUCGGCCGCCUCACCGAUCCGAAUUUUAAAGCUUGGACACGUGUUGCCAUCCUCACCGUCAAGGAUACACGUGUCACGAGGCCAACGCGUCACUACCGCUUCCUAUCACCACCGGCGACCCAACCAUCGGAUCCACCGGCCAAACCCGGAACUCCAUAGCUCCGUCACUCUUCACCUCGAACCAUCUUUAAGGAUCUUGGACCGGAGAGAAUCAAUCGCCGAGGCGAGAUCUCAUCCAUCACCGUUAAACAACUCCACCCAAAGAUAAAUCCGCGCAUGCAACAACCCCCUUUCCGUCGGAGUACUUCACUCUUCUCCGACGAACACUCAAACAACCAAAACAAGAAAGAAAACCAGAAAGAUGGGAACAAACGAUAUACACCUAAACCCUAAAGACUAGGGAACGAAGCCGGCGACGUAAGGCUGUGGAAGCCUUCACCUCCCGGAAGCUAAAGCCGAAGACGCCGGAACUGAAGAAGCUUCCCCGCCGCGGAGACAAAGACCGGCGGCGACGGAUCUGUGAGAGCCUCCGCCUCCCGGAUAUGUUACUCGAAACACAACGAUUUUUAUCUGAAAAGAACAAGUGCUCCGGCGGCGGCACGGACGCUCACGCGCCGGCCGACCGCCGAGCCCCCUCUCAGAUUUACUUUCUCUCUCUUUCUCUCUCU